UGCCUACGCCGUGUGGCACUACUGUCUAUCUUGGGCCUGCUUUGGCUUCAGGUGCCGUCAUUGGCUGCACGUCUUUAUGCAUUGGCUAACAACGUCCGCCGAGUUCAAUAGGCAAUGGUACGUUGUCCAUCACUUCCAAUUCAACCUUUAAUAUCGGCCUCUCAAACACAAUGGUAGAUCAACAUUGUCAACAGCUGUUAACAAAGAACGUCAGUGUUUGAAUUUUGUAGUCGUUUGAUUGGAGACAGUCUAGAAGUGGCGCAACUGCACCACGUCAUAAAUGCAUCGAUGCGCGUGGACAAGUGCAUCGUCUAAAGUAAUUUGGCCGGUAGUGAGUUGAAAAAUACUGCAACGCUUCAUCGUGCAAUCAUCCAUGCCCAAUUACCAGCAAAGCCGUUGCUGGAUGAUCUUACGUGGCGGCUGUUAAGUUUUAUCAGUCGUACAACAAACGCGAUUCGGAGCGGUGGUGCCAUUGAUGAUUUUCGGCAUAGGGAGCGUCUUGCGUAGCGUAGUGGUAUCUGUGCGGCACCAUUUAUUAAAAUCUUAGGUGUUUCUGGAAGUCUCCUCGCGCUGUAUUUUCUCGCAUGUUUAUUAAUUUUCUUGUACCAAAUGACCAAUCACUGCUAGUUUCUUUACAAUAUGGCCGCUUUGGGAAAUGACCUAACGGCUUCACUUUGUUUGUUAGGUGUGAUAUUCCGGGUGUAUUCAUUAUUAUUUCAGUGAUUCGACUAACGCCACAAUUUGAUAGAUAAGCUCGCGUGGCAAGACUUCAUUACGAGUGAUCGAAUAAUCAACGUCAAUGACUCAAUGAUGACCUGCCCUAAAAGAGUAAAAAAAAAAAAAAUAACACCACUUCAUUUCUGAAGGAAACUAGGCUGCAUGAGAAAGCGAGUCUGCAGAAUGAGAUUAGCGCAGUGAAUGUGCAAAAUAAUUCGUUUUAUGUAUUUUUGACUGAAACAUGUACUAUAUAUGGACGAGCGUUUCAUUUUGGCACACCGCAGCAAGAAACGCUGCUCGCGACAAUGGAAGCAACGGAGAAACGUGGAGAACAGCUGCAGCCGAUCACGGCACCUAACAAUACACACACCUCAAAAUUUUCGCGCGACACCAUCUGCAUCACAAAGAUCUAUUAAAAUAAUCCGUGUAAGAUGGUCUUAGAGCAGUGCAAGGUCCACAUUUUUCUGGCGCAAGUCUAAGCAUAAUUGUGUCAUACGCUGUUGCGUUGUAGCCAGCUCAGGUGUUUUCAAACCUAGCCAGUAUCCAGCAUGGCCUGAGUCGUUUCACUAGCCAUUGUGUUUGAACGAAGCACGACCAGGAUUCAGUUAUUCCGAAGAUCAUAAUCGCGUAUAUACUCUUUGCUCGAGACAGAUUGGACUGCCCAGUUUUCCAGUGACGCUGUCGCUGAGAAGUGAUAAACGCAUGCAGAAUGCCAGUAUGAGAACGAGAUGAUCGGGGAGCACAGAGUGACCCUUAUUCUGUAAUCGUAGCACUGUUAGUUUGUCCGCACCUGUUAUGUACCUCUACGAGCAACAGCGGCCCGUGGAAGGUCCAUAUCAAACUUAGUGAAAAGUUCUUAACGAAAGGAACAUUGGUCGAUAAAAUUGGUUGAUAUUCUCAUGUACCCUGAAACGCCCGAAUGACUCCCUAUGUGCUUUGUAAGCAAAGCUUGCUCUUUUUUGUUGCUUAGGGCUCGUAAGCAUAAGGUUUGAUGAUCUACAUGACACAAAAGUUACGGAAUACUGUGUUCCACAACAAAGAAGGAGCUCCGGUGAUGCUUCCGUGAUGUUGGUGUGGCUUAAUAACAUCGUCAUCUAAUUUCUGAAGAGGCCAUAAAGGUAUUGCCAAAUAAGCUGGUGGUUCUCUGUGACAUGGUCUUGGUACAAGGAGGCGGGGAGGCGACGGGCUUGUCUACCAGAUGAGAAAACGCAGGUCCUCAUCAUCUCACUCACCGUCUAACCUCGGCGCCCACCGCAGCUUACCUCAAAGACACGGUGCGCGAAGCCAUGUGCCGCGACGGCCGAGCUACAAGACGACAAAAGCGCUAACCGCGAUCCCACCGCUCUUACGCUUUAUAGGGAGCCUGCAAGCGACGACGUCGACGCUGACGCCGACGCUGAUGGUGUAACUGCGCCUUGAGUGUCCAUAGAAUUCAUAUCGCAAUAAAGAUCCUGCGCGGAAAUAGGCGGC